UACAGAGGGUGCAAGCGUUAAUCGGAAUUACUGGGCGUAAAGCGUGCGCAGUCGGUUAUUUAAGUCGGGCGUGAAAGCCCCGGGCUCAACCUGGGAAUUGCGUUCGAUACUGGAUAGCUAGAGUUCGGCAGAGGGAAGCGGAAUUUCGGGUGUAGCGGUGAAAUGCGUAGAUAUCCGAAGGAACAUCAGUGGCGAAAGCGGCUUCCUGGACCAGAACUGACGAUCAGGCACGAAAGCGUGGGGAGCAAACAGG
rnacentral:rRNA from 1 species